AGAUUAAGUUAUUAAGGGCGCACGGUGGAUGCCUUGGCACUAGAAGCCGAUGAAGGACGUUACUAACGACGAUAUGCUUUGGGGAGCUGUAAGUAAGCUUUGAUCCAGAGAUUUCCGAAUGGGGAAACCCAGCAUGAGUUAUGUCAUGUUAUCGAUAUGUGAAUACAUAGCAUAUCAGAAGGCACACCCGGAGAACUGAAACAUCUUAGUACCCGGAGGAAGAGAAAGAAAAUUCGAUUCCCUUAGUAGCGGCGAGCGAAACGGGAAGAGCCCAAACCAACAAGCUUGCUUGUUGGGGUUGUAGGACACUCUGUACGGAGUUACAAAGGACGACAUUAGACGAAUCAUCUGGAAAGAUGAAUCAAAGAAGGUAAUAAUCCUGUAGUCGAAAAUGUUGUCUCUCUUGAGUGGAUCCUGAGUACGACGGAGCACGUGAAAUUC
rnacentral:rRNA from 1 species